rnacentral:lncRNA from 1 species
GUGACAGAAGAAAAUGCUUGAAGUUCCCAGAGCCGAAUUCCCCAAACUUCAGUACAAAUGACAACUAUACAUUAACAAAAGCAAGCUGAACUCAGAGUCUUCCAGAUUCAUCCCGAAGAUGGGCCUACUUUGGACACCUGUGUAAACUGUCUCAAACUGCGUUAUUUCCUGGUGUGAAUUUCUGAUAUGAGAGUGAUCUGGUGGGAUUUCAGGGUUUACAGAUCAGUACUGCUCCCCAUGUUAUUAAAACAACAACAAAACAGGUUAUUUGUGGGUAACUGAAAUAAUACCUAGUUAGCUUUUGGGGUGACCAAAUGUUAAUUUAAGCAAGGGGCAUAGUUCUGGCCGCUUUUCUUUGUUGAAAAAAAAUGAAUGAAUAGCGAGCCCAUUAAAAACCUUCCUCUAUCAGAGCCUAGCUGUGGAGAAACUUACUUAAUGGAUCUGCUGAUAAUGACUUUGCAAAGAACCACUACUGUUAUUUUGUCAUAUACUACCCUGUCUCAGAUGUCUUUACUGUUAGGGUAAAGACACCCUAAUCUACUGUUAGGGUAAAGACGCCCUCACCUUAAUCCAGAGACUCAUCACCUUCUACCAAAGCUACUAUGACAACUUCCUGGCUAGACUUCUGCCUGCAGCCUCAUGUAUAUCCUAGUUCACGGUGGGUCUAGCUGGCUCAGAAAUCAUCCUAAAAGGUCAUGUUCAUGCUAUUAAUCCCUUUUCAAGGACUUGCAGUGGCACCCCACUGUUGAUCUCAUUAGGUUAAAACACCUUAUUCUCUGCAUCAGUAUGAGUACACCCUCUCUGCUCUGCCCAAAUUGGAACAGCCUGGAGCUUUUAUUUAUGCUCUUCCAUCAUUUUUUUUUGGGGGGGGGGUCAAAUUUUUACCCAUCAAGCAAUUUGGCAAUAUGUACUGGGUCUUAAUUUUUUCCUACUCUUAAGGAAACAAUUCUUCAUAUAGAAACUCAUUUCAUGUACAAAGAUGGCCAUUACAGUUACUUAUAUACUAUAUAGUUAAAAGUUACAACUUAAAUGUUUAGCAAAGGAGAAAGAAUUAAGUGUGGUCCAUUUAUAAAACAGACAUAUAAAUGACAUUGUUAACACAGCAUAAAGAAUUAAUGUAAAAAAAAAUACUUAUGUUCCAACAGAGGAGAAAAAAAAACUGAAGUCUGUAUAGAGCAUGAGCUCAAUUAAAAAAUAGGAAAGAACUUUUAGAAAUACAUAUUCCAAAACUGUCAAGAGAGGUUAUCUAUGGAUGGCACGAUUAUGGGUUACUUCUAGUUUUUUGUUUUUCAUACUUUUUCAGUGAUAUUUUAAUCAAAACAAUGUACUUUUUUCUUUUUAUAUCUUUUAUUGCUUUUGUUUCUGAUAGUUAAGGUAAUUCAUACCUAUUGUUAAAAUUUCAGACAAUAUAGAAAUACAUACAUUUUUAAAAAAUAAAAAUCACCUAUAAUUUCAAUAAAAGAAUCACCUAGUGAUA